AUUCGAUUCCGGAGAGGGAGCCUGAGAAACGGCUACCACAUCUAAGGAAGGCAGCAGGCGCGCAAAUUACCCAAUCCCGGCUCGGGGAGGUAGUGACAAAAAUAACAAUGCGGGACUCUUAUGAGGCUUCGUAAUUGGAAUGAGUACAUUCUAAAUCCUUUAACGAGGAACUAUUGGAGGGCAAGUCUGGUGCCAGCAGCCGCGGUAAUUCCAGCUCCAAUAGCGUAUAUUAAAGUUGUUGCGUCUAAAAAGCUCGUAGUUUGAAAACUUGCCUUGGCUUACAACAGACGUCUAAGGGCGUCACCGUUUGUCGAGAGCAAAUAUGGGUGACUGUUCUUGCCUUCUUCACUGAUUGGCUCGUAAAAGUCAUCGAAGAUCACUUUGAUUAAAUUAGGGUGCUCAAAGCAAGUGUGCUACUUGAAUAUGAAUGCAUGGAAUGAUGGAAUAUGUUGUUGUUCUAUUUGUUGGUUUUUUGAAUGACAAAAUGAUUGAAAGGAACUGUUGGGGGCAUUCGUAUUGUUGUGAGAGAGGUGAAAUUCUUAGACCAUAGCAAGACGAACUACUGCAAAAGCAUUUGCCAAGAAUGUUUUCAUUGAUCAAGAACGAAAGUUAGAGGUUCGAAGGCGAUCAGAUACCGCCCUAGUUCUAACCAUAAACUAUGCCGACUAGCAAUUUGCUUUGUAUUUUUAUGACUAAGUGAGAGGCCACGGGAGACCAAAGUAGGGUUAUGGGGGAAGUAUGGUUGCAAAGCUGAAACUUAAAGGAAUUGACGGAAGGGCACCACCAGGAGUGGAGCCUGCGGCUUAAUUUGACCCAACACGGGAAAACUUACCUGGUCCUGACACUAGAAGGAUUGACAGAUUGAUAGCUCUUUCUUGAUUUGGUGGAUGGUGGUGCAUGGCCGUUCUUAGUUGGUGGAGUGAUUUGUCUGGUUAAUUCCGAUAACGAACGAGACUCUAGCCUAUUAAAUAAUAUGCGGAAUCAAUUUCUCCCGCGUUAUUUCUUAAUGGGAUCAAGCGUGUUUAACGCUUUGAAACAGAGCAAUAACAGGUCUGUGAUGCCCUUAGAUGUUCGGGGCUGCACGCGCGCUACAUUGAAGAACAAAGUGAGCCCUCUGGCUUUUAACAAAGCUAGAAAUCUUUUAAUGUUCUUCUUAAUGGGGAUAGGGGAUUGCAAUUGUGCCCCUUGAACGAGGAAUUCCCAGUAAGUGCUAGUCAUUAGCUAGUACUGAUUACGUCCCUGCCCUUUGUACACACCGCCCGUCGCUACUACCGAUUGAAUAGUUUAGUGAGAUCAUCUGAGUGUUUGUAUGUGCAUUCUGUGCUUGUAUGGUGUACGAAGAAGAUCAAACUUGAUUAUUUAGAGGAAGUAAAAGUCGUAACAAGGUU
rnacentral:rRNA from 1 species